UAAUACGAAGGGGGCUAGCGUUGCUCGGAAUUACUGGGCGUAAAGGGCGCGUAGGCGGCACUGUUAGUCAGGCGUGAAAUUCCUGGGCUCAACCUGGGGACUGCGCUUGAUACGGCAGAGCUAGAGGAUGGAAGAGGCUCGCGGAAUUCCCAGUGUAGAGGUGAAAUUCGUAGAUAUUGGGAAGAACACCGGUGGCGAAGGCGGCGAGCUGGUCCAUUACUGACGCUGGGGCGCGACAGCGUGGGGAGCAAACAGG
rnacentral:rRNA from 1 species